rnacentral:rRNA from 1 species
CAGUCUGCAACUCGACUGCACGAAGCUGGAAUCGCUAGUAAUCGCGGAUCAGCACGCCGCGGUGAAUACGUUCCCGGGCCUUGUACACACCGCCCGUCACACCAUGGAAGUCUGCAAUGCCCGAAGCCGGUGGGAUAACCUUUAUAGGAGUCAGCCGUCUAAGGUAGGACAGAUGAUUAGGGUGAAGUCGUAACAAGGUAAC